rnacentral:ncRNA from 1 species
CCGAUUGAUUCUGUCGGCGGUUAUAUGCUUGUCUCAAAGGCUGAGCCAUGCAUGUCUAAGUUCAAAUAAACCUAUAAUGGUGAAACCGCGAACGGCUCAUUAUAACAGCUAUAAUGUACUUGAUGUUGAUUAUCCAACGUGGAUAACUGUGGCAAUUCUAGAGCUAAUACAUGCACCAGAGCUCCGACUUUUGGACGAGCGCAUCUAUUAGAUUAAAACCAAUCGGGUUAUUGGCCCGUUAAUUGGUGACUCUGAAUAGCUAUGGCUGAUCGCAUGGUCUUGUACCGGCGACGUAUCUAUCAAGUGUCUGCCUUAUCAACUUUCGAUGGUAGUUUAUGUGCCUACCAUGGUUGUAACGGGUAACGGAGAAUAAGGGUUUGACUCCGGAGAGGGAGCCUGAGAAACGGCUACCACAUCCAAGGAAGGCAGCAGGCGCGCAAAUUACCCACUCUCAGAAGGAGGAGGUAGUGACGAAAAAUAACGAGACCGUUCUCUUUGAGGCCGGUUAUCGGAAUGGGUACAAUUUAAACCCGUUAACGAGGAUCUAUGAGAGGGCAAGUCUGGUGCCGGCAGCCGCGGUAAUUCCAGCUCUCAAAGUGUAUAUC